rnacentral:rRNA from 1 species
UACGUAGGCAGCGAGCGUUGUUCGGAUUUACUGGGCGUAAAGCGUGCGCAGGCGGUGAUGUAAGACAGUUGUGAAAUCCCCGGGCUCAACCUGGGAACUGCAUCUGUGACUGCAUCGCUGGAGUGCGGCAGAGGGGGAUGGAAUUCCGCGUGUAGCAGUGAAAUGCGUAGAUAUGCGGAGGAACACCGAUGGCGAAGGCAAUCCCCUGGGCCUGCACUGACGCUCAUGCACGAAAGCGUGGGGAGCAAACGGG